AAUCAACGCUGGCGGCGUGCCUCAGACAUGCAAGUCGAACGCGAAAGUCCCCUUCGGGGGACAAGUAGAGUGGCGCACGGGUGAGUAACACGUAGGUAAUCUACCUUCGGGCGGGGAAUAACAACCGGAAACGGUUGCUAAUACCGCAUAAUGCAGCGGCACCUAAUGGUGACAGUUGUUAAAGCGGGGGAGUCGCAAGACCUCGCACCUGAAGAGGAGCCUGCGGCGGAUUAGCUAGUGGUAGGGUAACAGCCUACCAAGGCAACGAUCCGUAGCCGGCCUGAGAGGGCGGUCGGCCACACUGACACUGACAUACGGGUCAGACUCCUACGGGAGGCAGCAGUCGGGAAUUUUGGG
rnacentral:rRNA from 1 species